CAGUCGCCGCGGUAAUACGAAGGGUGCAAGCGUUAAUCGGAAUUACUAGGCGUAAAGCGUGCGUAGGCGGUGAGUUAAGUCUGCUGUGAAAUCCCCGGGCUCAACCUGGGAAUGGCAGUGGAUACUGGCUCGCUAGAGUGUGUCAGAGGAUGGUGGAAUUCCCGGUGUAGCGGUGAAAUGCGUAGAGAUCGGGAGGAACAUCAGUGACGAAGGCGGCCAUCUGGGACAACACUGACGCUGAGGCACGAAAGCGUGGGGAGCAAACAGGAUUAGAUACCCCUGUAGUCCCUGUCUCUUAUAC
rnacentral:rRNA from 1 species